CCCUUAGAUGUUCUGGGCAGCACGCGCGCUACAAUGGUCUUCGCAAACGGAUGCAUUCUCGAAGGAGAAUGCCAAUCUUGGAAUCUAUGCCUUGGUCGGGACAGUUGCUUGGAAUUUUUCGACUCGAACCAGGAAUUCCUUGUAAUCGUGAUUCAUCACAUCACGAUGAAUACGUCCCUGCCCUUUGUACACACCGCCCGUCGCUCCUACCGAUCGAAGAGUUAGGUGAAUUGUUUUGAUCGAUAAGAUUUGACUAUGGUCAACUCUCGUUGUGAAAUUCUGUGAAUCUGACUGUUUAGAGGAAGGAAAAGUCGUAACA
rnacentral:rRNA from 1 species